AUCUGUCACAGAAAAGAAGACCAAGAAGACCUUCAGAGGGUGAAGUGGAAGUUUUUGUUUGGCCCUGACAACAUGAUUAAGAAGGUCCUGUCAGACUGAAGAGAGUAACUACUAUUAAGAGUCUUAUAGAAGAGAUUCAUGCAUAGCAUAAAGAUUUAGACUUCUAGAACGUCUUCGAUUCAUGUUUCUGCUAUAAUGUUACAACAAAGGUUUCCCAAUCUGGACCCCCAAGAGAGGAUUCUUGGACUUUGCUCAAGAAAGAAUUCGAGGCAAGUCCACAGAGUAAAGUGAAAGCAACUUUACUAAGAAUGUAAAGGAAUAAAAGAAUGGCUACUCCAUAGGCAGAACAGCAGCUUGGGCUUCUUGGCUGAUAAUACUUAUAGUUAUUUCUUGAUUAUAUACUAAACAAGGGGAGGAUUAUUUAUGAGUUUUCUGGGAAAAAGCUGAGCAAUUCCCAGAACUGAGAGUUCCUCCCCUUCUUAGACCAUAUAGGUUAACUUCCUGACAUUGCCAUCGCAGCACUGUGGAAGUGUUUUUUAACAUGCUAAUGCAUUACAGUUAACAUAUAAUGAGCAGGGAGGACGACCAGAGGUCACUUUCCUUGUCCUCUUGAUUUGGUGGGUUUUGGCUGUCUUCUUUACCACAACCUAUUUUAUCAGCAAGGUCUUUGUGACUUGUAUCUGGUGCUGACCUCCUAUCAUCCUAUAACUUACAAUGCUUCGCCUCCUGGGAAUGCAGCCCAGCAGGUCUCAGCCUCAUUUUACCUAGCAACUAGUCAAGAUGGAGUUGCUCUGGUUCAAACGCCUCUGACAUUUACAAAAGGGCAGCUUUUCAGAGCUACCACUGUGUCUGCAGUUUCUCAAAAUAACCUGCUCAAAAUAUACAAAAGAAAUAUUUUUUGAGGUGGUAUACUCUGAUCUCUUAUAGUCAUAUUUUGAUGUGUGUUCUGAGCCCCAGCAGCUCCUAGCUCCACCACAUAUUAUUUAUAUAGUUCUGGGCAAAUUUUUAACUUUAGAGAGUCUCUAUUUCUUUACUUAUUAAAAUAGUAAUAAUCAUAUUAAGCUGCUGUGUUUUAUGAAAAUCAGGAUAAGGUAAGUACCAUCCAAAUACUCCAAAGUUAUUCAGCCUUCUGGGGUCCUUUACCCUUUCCUUUUGUCAAAGCACAAUUUUCAAAAGCUAAAAACAGACCUCUCAUACAUAGAAUGUACAUGUGUCAGAGACCUUUUAAACUCAUUAAUGAUGGAAGCAUCAGAAUUGUAAAACUGGUACAAAGGAGCCUGGUAGAGAGAGAAAUAUUUAUUGUCAGAAAGAAAUAAUACUAGAAUAACAUUGCUAAAUUAAGUAACAACACUGGCUAAUAAUCCACAGGUCAAUAAGACUGUAACUUUUGGGAAUUAUAUUUCCUAUGGGUGGAAAUUGUUUUCAUUAUUAUGAGACAGAAAAUAUUUGCAUUGCAGACAGAUAAGAAUCAUUUUCAACAUAUUACCUUCCCCCUGACAGGGUUGUAGAAUCUCUUAAUCAAUAGUAAACAGUGUGUGAAACAAGUGUGCAUGCCUCCAGAGAAUGAGCUAAUCCUUGGGUGGACCUACUAGAUGGUGCUCCAGAAGGGUACUCACAGGAAAUGCGGUCAUCCUG
rnacentral:lncRNA from 10 species